rnacentral:rRNA from 1 species
AGUGAACGCUGGCGGUAGGCCUAACACAUGCAAGUCGAACGGCAGCACAGUAAGAGCUUGCUCUUACGGGUGGCGAGUGGCGGACGGGUGAGGAAUACAUCGGAAUCUACUUUUUCGUGGGGGAUAACGUAGGGAAACUUACGCUAAUACCGCAUAAGACCUACGGGUGAAAGCAGGGGAUCUUCGGACCUUGCGCGAUUGAAUGAGCCGAUGUCGGAUUAGCUAGUUGGGGGGGUAAAGGCCCACCAAGGCGACGAUCCGUAGCUGGUCUGAGAGGAUGAUCAGCCACACUGGAACUGAGACACGGUCCAGACUCCUACGGGAGGCAGCAGUGGGGAAUAUUGGACAAUGGGCGCAAGCCUGAUCCAGCCAUACCGCGUGAGUGAAGAAGGCCUUCGGGUUGUAAAGCCCUUUUGUUGGGAAAGAAAAGCAGCAGGUGAAUACCCCGCUGUUCUGACGGUACCCAAAGAAUAAGCACCGGCUAACUUCGUG